rnacentral:lncRNA from 1 species
GGCCGCCGAACAUUGCAUGGAUGCGGAAGCGCAUUCGGCCCCUGAACGUGGCCUGGCCAGCCACUAUAAAUGGGGCACUUAGCCGAAAUGGGCGAGCUUUCUCCCAUUUUCGGCCACAGCGAGCUUCCGACCUUCCUCUUGCAAAUCUAGUGUUCUUCCUCCAAAUCCCCACCAUUUUUCUUGAGUUUUAACCUCACAUUGCAAGUUUUGAAGUUUUGAAACGAGUUUUGGAGCUUUGGGAACUCAGGAGCUCAUUUUCGUGGAUCUCCAAGUUUAGGUCGUCUCCCUCUCGAUCUUCAAGAGGUAAGGGCCGAUCUUAAGCUCCUUAUGUGUUUUAAAUAAGUUUUAUGCAAGAUCUAUGGGUAGAAAUGCAUGUUAGGGUAUAUGUUGAGUUUAUGGGUUAAUAUUGAUGUUUUGAACAAUGUGGCUUGUUUGUGUGUGUUUGAAGUGUUGUAGUUGGGGUAUUUG